GUAGCUCAGUGGUAGAGUGCUUGCCUUGCAUGCAUGAGGCGCUGGGUUCAAUUUCUCAGC
rnacentral:tRNA from 1 species